rnacentral:rRNA from 1 species
UCCUACGGGAGGCAGCAGUGGGGAAUUUUGGACAAUGGGGGGAACCCUGAUCCAGCCAUGCCGCGUGUAUGAAGAAGGCCUUAGGGUUGUAAAGUACUUUUGUUAGGGAAGAAAAGCUAGUUUUGAAUAAAGACUAGUGAUGACGGUACCUAAAGAAUAAGCACCGGCUAACUACGUGCCAGCAGCCGCGGUAAUACGUAGGGUGCGAGCGUUAAUCGGAAUUAUUGGGCGUAAAGCGAGUGCAGACGGUUGUUUAAGCCAGAUGUGAAAUCCCCGAGCUUAACUUGGGACGUGCAUUUGGAACUGGAUAACUAGAGUGUGUCAGAGGGAGGUAGAAUUCCACAUGUAGCGGUGGAAUGCGUAGAGAUGUGGAGGAAUACCGAUGGCGAAGGCAGCCUCCUGGGAUAACACUGACGUUGAGGCUCGAAAGCGUGGGGAGCAAACAGGAUUAGAUACCCUGGUAGUCCACGCCCUAAACGAUGACAAUUAGCUGUUGGGCUUUGAAAGGCUUAGUAGCGAAGCUAACGCGAGAAAUUGUCCGCCUGGGGAGCACGGUCGCAAGAUUAAAACUCAAAGGAAUUGACGGGGACCCGCACAAGCGGUGGAUGAUGUGGAUUAAUUCGAUGCAACGCGAAAAACCUUACCUACCCUUGACAUG